UACGUAGGGUGCAAGCGUUGUCCGGAAUUAUUGGGCGUAAAGAGCUCGUAGGCGGUCUGUCGCGUCGGCUGUGAAAUCCCGAGGCUCAACCCCGUGACUGCAUCCGAUACUGUCAGGCUAGAGGUAGGUAGGGGAGAUCGGAAUUCCUGGUGUAGCGGUGAAAUGCGCAGAUAUCAGGAGGAACACCGGUGGCGAAGGCGGUUCUCUGGGACGGUACUGACGCUGAGACGCGAAAGCGUGGGGAGCGAACAGG
rnacentral:rRNA from 1 species